UGAAGUCCCCGGCGGCAUCUCCACACCACGGCUCCUCCAGCUGCUCUGGCUCCGUCCCAACAUCUUCCAGGAACUGCUCCAGGUCCAGGUCACUGGAGGCGUCAUCGUCAGCAGCUUUGACCCAUCAACUCUCAACCCAUCCUGGGAUCCCGGCCCCAAAGCCCCCCAAAGCAAGACACCUGGAGCUUCCCGUAGGAAGACGGGAACGGGGAGGACUUUGAGUGGUGCCCCUGUGUUUGCAGAGCGGACAGGAUACUGGAGCUUCUCCAGAAGCUGGGCAGGGUCAGACACUGAUGUCCUGGGCAAGGAGUCAGAGCUGGGCCACAGGGAACAGAUGCCCAGAGAAGUGAGGAAAUGAGCAGUGUUUAUUAAUGGUGUUUACAGAGAAAACACCAAGUUCUGGAGCACUCAGAGGAACAUUUUUCUCAGUUUCUGCUCUCAAGGAACACAGUGGGGAAAGGACAUUACGCAAGAAAAGAACCAACACCAGCACAUCUACUGCUCUGUGAAUAAUAAAGGGAAUGCGUUACAAGAGUUUAAAGUA